GACGAACGCUGGCGGCGUGCUUAACACAUGCAAGUCGAACGGUGAAGCGCCUUCCUUUUUGGUGGGUGUGGAUGAGUGGCGAACGGGUGAGUAACACGUGAGUAACCUGCCCCCUUCUUCUGGAUAACCGCAUGAAAUAGUGGCUAAUACGGGAUAUUCUGGGUCUGUCGCAUGAUGGGUCUGGGAAAGAAUUUGUUUCGGUGGGGGAUGGGCUCGCGGCCUGUCAGCUUGUUGGUGGGGUGUGGGCCUACCAAGGCGGUGAGAGGUAGCCGGCCGGGGGGGGUGGACGGACAGACGGGGACUGAGAGACGGCACAGACUCGUGCGGGAGGAGGCAGUGGGGAAUAGUGCACGAUGGGAGCAAGACUGAUGCAGCGAGGCCGAGUGAGGGAUGUAGGCCUUCGGUUUGUGAACCUCUUUCGCCAGUGACGCAGGCCUGCCUCGUUUGUGGGUGGGUUGACGGUAGCUGGAUAAGAAGCGCCGGCUAACUACGUG
rnacentral:rRNA from 1 species